UGGUGGAGUGAUUUGUCUGGUUAAUUCCGUUAACGAACGAGACCUUAAUUCUUAAAUAGUGGGGUGAAACUUCUAAUGGGUGAAGUGUGAGGGUGUGGUGGUGGCCUAAAAACCAUUGCUGCCUCUUGCAUGGAUCCUUGAUGCUUUUAUACUUGCUUCUUAGGGAGACUAUUGGGGAAUACCCAAUGGAAGUUAGGCAAUAACA
rnacentral:rRNA from 1 species